rnacentral:snoRNA from 12 species
CUCCCUCAGCCUUACUCCAAGGGCUUUGUCCUGUGAAGUGCCUUGGCAUUGCCUGAGGGAACAGCAACAGCACACCUCCCUCCCCAGGAAGAUUCUGUUCUCCUGUGGGGCCUGCAGCCUGCGCUGACAGC